CCCUUUUAUUCUUCUGACGAUGAAUUGGCAUUUUGCUUUCUCAUUUCCUUAGGCGUCACUGUUUGAAAUGGGCAAGGCAGAGAGAGAGUGAGCGCUACAGCAGCGGAGAGGAAGAGGCGAUUUUGAUCGUAUUCCAUUGCGAUUCCAAGCUGCACCUCUCCUCGAGCUUGAGUUCCGCUCCGGCGGACGAUACUAACUGAAGAAGACAUGUUUCCAGGAGUAGCUCAUCUGCGUUGCCGUGAUCCGAGUAGUUGUUUCCUGUCUAUGUUUAACAGUGAUGUGUUCUUCAAUUAGUGGGUGUUUAUGUUGUUAGGAAGAUGGAGGUGCAUGUCAGUUGAAAUUUCUAGUGACAUUUACAGUAGAAUUACUUGUGAAAUUAAACUGUAAAUCAAUGUAAUUCAACUGCAAUACUACGGUAUUUACACCGUAAAAAUGUUACUGGAACUCAACUGUAGUAUUUAUGGUGUAAUUGUACUGUAAAUCUACUGCAAUCAUACUGUAAAAAUCUGUAUUUACAUUGAAGUUCUACUGUAAAAUACACUUUGAUUAUAGUAGAAUUACACUGAAAA